GACGAACGCUGGCGGCGUGCCUAAUACAUGCAAGUUGAGCGCUGAAGGUUGGUACUUGUACCCACUGGAUGAGCAGCGAACGGGUGAGUAACGCGUGGGGAAUCUGCCUUUGAGCGGGGGACAACAUUUGGAAACGAAUGCUAAUACCGCAUAAAAACUUUAAACACAAGUUUUAAGUUUGAAAGAUGCAAUUGCAUCACUCAAAGAUGAUCCCGCGUUGUAUUAGCUAGUUGGUGAGGUAAAGGCUCACCAAGGCGAUGAUACAUAGCCGACCUGAGAGGGUGAUCGGCCACAUUGGGACUGAGACACAGCCCAAACUCCUACGGGAGGCAGCAGUAGGGAAUCUUCGGCAAUGGACGAAAGUCUGACCGAGCAACGCCGCGUGAGUGAAGAAGGUUUUCGGAUCGUAAAACUCUGUUGGUAGAGAAGAACGUUGGUGAGAGUGGAAAGCUCAUCAAGUGACGGUAACUACCCAGAAAGGGACGGCUAACUACGUG
rnacentral:rRNA from 1 species